GUGGUUGUGGCUCAGUGGUAGAGUGCCUACCUAGUAUAUGUGAUACACUGGGUUCAAUCCUCAGCAUCACA
rnacentral:tRNA from 1 species